GAGGGUAUAGCUCAGUUGGUAGAGUGCUUGUUUCACAUGCAUGAGGUCCUGAGUUCAAUCCCCAGUACCUCCA
rnacentral:tRNA from 1 species